rnacentral:rRNA from 1 species
UACGAGGGGGGCGAGCGUUGUUCGGAAUUAUUGGGCGUAAAGGGUGCGUAGGCGGUUUGGUAAGUCUUGUGUGAAAUCUACAGGCUCAACUUGUAGUCUGCACGAGAAACUGCCGGGCUUGAGUGUGGGAGAGGUGAGUGGAAUUCCUGGUGUAGCGGUGAAAUGCGUAGAUAUCAGGAGGAACACCUGUGGCGAAAGCGGCUCACUGGACCAUUACUGACACUGAGGUACGAAAGCUAGGGGAGCAAACAGG